UAAAGGUCCUGGUAGACGGGUGGAUGUAAAAUAAGGAUGUUGGAAAACAAAGGGAGAGUGGAAGAAAAAAAUGUUUAAUGUACAAAAGAUUAUCGUUUGUUAGCUUAUGGUGAGUGGUUGACUAUAUGAUUGUACUAUUUCUAGAUAGCUUUACAGAGUAAGGUACCUCGCUGAGCUCCAUUCAGAUGCCUUACCACAGCUCCUUAGCUUUAGGAAUCAAAUCAGAACUGGAAAACUGCCAAAGACCUCGCUUGAAUGAAACCUCAGUGUGUGGAUGUAUUUAUAAAUCGAUUUUUUUUCAUGCUUGCCCAAAGAUUUAUACAUUUGGCAUCGAUCAUUCUUGUACUUCAACAAGCUGUCGAUAUCUUAACAUAGAGCUGAAACGCUCGUAGAACACGUCCCUGGACAAUGGCUUCGGUGUGGAACAUGAGUUUCUGAGCAGGUGCCUACAGGACCAAAGAUGAAUCCUGCUCCCACAGUUCCAGCUGUGUGCUGGUGGAGUUUUAUUUGACAAAGCUGUGACGAAUCGGGCGAGAUCAGUACAGAUAAAGCCACUAUAUAAAACCCCUUUAGCGGUGAUUUGGACACUUUUAAAAGUGUUAGUUCUACUUUGAGAAUCGAUUCGUUUUUUUUUAGGACUGAUACUUUGUCAUCUAGACAUUGUCUGGCUCAGUGGACAUGAACGUCAGUGUUAGCAAACUCAGUCUGUCUUUGAAUUUCAAAUCAUUGCAAAUUUUUUUCUUUUGUUGUUGUUUUUUAUUAUUAUUAUUUUUUAUUUUCUUUCUUUCGUUGGACCUCCAGUCUCUAAUUGUACGGGUUUUUGUCACCAUUUCUGGUGUAUUCCAGCUUAUGACUUCUUCCUUACUGGAGAAAAACAGAAAAUGUAAGUUCAGAAUUGUGUGGUCAUAGACCCUUUUAUGAUUGUAUUAUCUUAUGGAGAGAAAAAAAGAGAUGUGUAUACACAUUAAAACAACUCAGGUAGCUUUGUAGAGAUUUGAUUAAAAUUCAAUAUUUGUUUCCUACACUUUGAUAGUGAAUCCUUUGUUAGUACCUCAUGAGCUUUUGUGUGUUUUGUUUGUAGAAAUGCUGUUAUUGAAUUCCAUGUGACGGUUAACAGUCAGUGAGGGGGUGAGCAAUUUGUAACUUUUACAACAGCGUGUCUCAGCUUUGCAUACUUCACAAAGUCCUAACUUGAUUUGAUUCAUUUAAACCUCAUGUAAUUAAAGGAAUCGUUAAUCUCUUUAAUUGAUGGAUGGAUAUAUUGUGAUAAACGUGUUUGCAUUCAACGGCUGUUACAAAAUUCAUUGCCUUUUGAUGAUCAAAAAAACUUGAAAAAUAGGUUUUCAAGAAAUUUGAGGUCAACAGACUGCCUCUAAAUUUGAAUUAUAGUGAUAAUAGAUAUUAAGACUCCUUGUCCCAGCACUGAAAAUUGAUAUUUACAUCAGGCUUGGCUGUGAGACAGGCUAAGCAAAGAGGUGUGGGGAGAUUCUGCUCGUCAGUUGUCUUUUCAGGUGGAUGAUAUUGGUUUAGGGGCCCUCCAAGAGGCCCACCAUUCUUUCCAUCUCUUUCUGUUUCACAACUCACGCUAUCCCACCAUCUAUCACCCCCUCAACCAAAGCAACAGAACAGUCAUUUAUUACUCUCUGAAUAAGGCUGAUGGGGCUAUAUGAAAUACGUAGUGGUCUCCAGUCUUGUUCUUUUGUCUUUGUGGACUUUAAACAUUUCCUAUGCAGUUUUAUUUUUUAAUGUUUGGUUGUUUAUGAUUUAAAUAAAGUUAUAUCUCUUUGGAUCCUGUAUUUGUG
ensembl:lncRNA